AAAUAAGAGCAGUUGGAACAACAAAAGCUGUUCAGUUGUACCCUUGGAAUCCACGGAAAUCCUGGGUAGGGAAGCUCCAGUACCACCAACUGGAAAGACUGGGAAUGCCUAGUAGCUGGUACUGGCCAUUGUCGUAGGCUUUGUCCACUUUGACAAACUGAAGACGGGGACUCGACUCACCUUCGCCAGCCACAGGAGGACCUCCAGACGAGGACCGGACUCGCCGCCUUUCUUUCCCGUCAGAAAGGGAUCCCUUGCGGACAAGACCGAAGUCCAACCGAAACAGGCCUGAAGUUCCAGGAUGGGCGAGAGGAUCCUCUUUGAGCGAAACCAGCCUUCUGCCUGGCUGGCCCUGGUCAACACACUCGGAAGAGGCCGAUUUGGAGGACAGAACGGAAGAAAAGACCUAAAGGCACUGUUCUAAGUGCUGCAGUGCUGGGGCCACAAUAUCAAACAAAACAAAUGAUCCUCAUCCAAUCACUUAAAGGCCUGAAUAGAACCAAAAGUCUGACCUGCCCAUGAGUAAGAGAGAGCUCCUUCUGCCUGAUUGCUUCAGCUGAGAUAUCAGCCUUUUCCUGCCUUUGGAAUUGAACUGCAACACUGGCUCUUCCUGGGCCUCAAGCCUGCCAGCUUUUGAACUGUAAUCACACCAUCAUCUCUCCUGGUUCUCAGGCCUUUGGACUCAAAUCAGAAACACACCAUGGGCUCUCCUGUGUCUCAAGCUUGCCAACUGUGAUCUUGAGACUUCUCAGCCUCCAUAAUCACAUGAGUCAAUUGUUGGUUCUGUUUCUCUGGAGAACCCUAAUCCAUCACUUUACAUAUUUCUUCCAUUACACAUAUUGUUUCCCAGCAUAUUAAAUAAUUUACUGAUUAU
rnacentral:lncRNA from 1 species